CCUACGGGAGGCAGCAGUGAGGAAUAUUGGUCAAUGGGCGAGAGCCUGAACCAGCCAAGUCGCGUGAAGGAUGAAGGAUCUAUGGUUUGUAAACUUCUUUUAUAUGGGAAUAAAGUGAGGAACGUGUUCCUUUUUGUAUGUACCAUAUGAAUAAGCAUCGGCUAACUCCGUGCCAGCAGCCGCGGUAAUACGGAGGAUGCGAGCGUUAUCCGGAUUUAUUGGGUUUAAAGGGUGCGUAGGUGGUUAAUUAAGUCAGCGGUGAAAGUUUGUGGCUCAACCAUAAAAUUGCCGUUGAAACUGGGAGAUGGGAGUAUAUUGGAGGAGGGGGGAAUGCGUGGGGUAGCGGGGAAAGGCAUAGAUAUCAGGAAGAACGCCGAUUGCGAAGGCAGCUUACUAACCUAUAACUGACACUGAAGCACGAAAGCGUGGGGAUCAAACAGGAUUAGAUACCCGGGUAGUC
rnacentral:rRNA from 1 species